GGACCCGCACAAGCAGCGGAGCAUGUGGUUUAAUUCGAAGCAACGCGAAGAACCUUACCAGGGCUUGACAUCCCACUGACCGGCGCGUAAUGGUGCCUUCCCUUUUAGGGCAGUGGAGACAGGUGGUGCAUGGUUGUCGUCAGCUCGUGUCGUGAGAUGUUGGGUUAAGUCCCGUCAACGAGCGCAACCCUUGCCAUCAGUUGCCAGCGGUUAGGCCGGGCACUCUGGUGGGACUGCCGGGGAGAACUCGGAGGAAGGUGGGGAUGACGUCAAAUCAUCAUGCCCCUUAUGUUCUGGGCUACACACGUGCUACAAUGGCCGGCACAGAGGGAAGCAAAGGCGCGAGCCGGAGCGAAACCUAAAAGCCGGUCCCAGUUCGGAUUGCAGGCUGCAACUCGCCUGCAUGAAGUCGGAGUUGCUAGUAAUCGCGAAUCAGAACGUCG
rnacentral:rRNA from 1 species